GCUUAACGCGAAGAACCUUACCAGGUCUUGACAUCCUCUGACAACUUUAGAGAUAGAGCGUUCCCCUUCGGGGGACAGAGUGACAGGUGGUGCAUGGUUGUCGUCAGCCCGUGUCGUGAGAUGUUGGGUUAAGUCCCGCAACGAGCGCAACCCUUGAUCUUAGUUGCCAGCAUUUAGUUGGGCACUCUAAGGUGACUGCCGGUGACAAACCGGAGGAAGGUGGGGAUGACGUCAAAUCAUCAUGCCCCUUAUGACCUGGGCUACACACGUGCUACAAUGGAUGGUACAAAGGGCUGCAAGACCGCGAGGUCAAGCCAAUCCCAUAAAACCAUUCUCAGUUCGGAUUGUAGGCUGCAACUCGCCUACAUGAAGCUGGAAUCGCUAGUAAUCGCGGAUCAGCAUGCCGCGGUGAAUACGUUCCCGGGUCUUGUACACACCG
rnacentral:rRNA from 1 species